UUGCGCCUGGCUCCCUGUAUGCCACAUGCGUAGACCGAUGUCCAUGGGGAGAUUGGAUAUUGUGGGUGGCGUGCGAGGAGCCAAGCAUGA
rnacentral:pre_miRNA from 1 species